rnacentral:rRNA from 1 species
UACGUAGGUGGCAAGCGUUGUCCGGAAUUAUUGGGCGUAAAGCGCGCGCAGGCGGUCCUUUAAGUCUGAUGUGAAAGCCCACGGCUCAACCGUGGAGGGUCAUUGGAAACUGGGGGACUUGAGUGCAGAAGAGGAAAGCGGAAUUCCACGUGUAGCGGUGAAAUGCGUAGAGAUCGGGAGGAACACCUGUGGCGAAGGCGGCCGGCUGGGGGGUACCCUGACGCUGAGGCGCGACAGCGUGGGGAGCGAACCGG